UAUAUGGAAGAACACCAGUGGCGAAGGCGGCUGUCUGGUCUGUAACUGACGCUGAGGCUCGAAAAGUAUGGGUAGCAAACAGGAUUAGAUACCCUGGUAGUCCAUACCGUAAACGAUGAAUGCUAAGUGUUGGAGGGUUUCCGCCCUUCAGUGCUGCAGCUAACGCAUUAAGCAUUCCGCCUGGGGAGUACGGCCGCAAGGCUGAAACUCAAAGGAAUUGACGGGGGCCCGCACAAGCGGUGGAGCAUGUGGUUUAAUUCGAAGCUACGCGAAGAACCUUACCAGGUCUUGACAUACUAUGCAAAUCUAAGAGAUUAGACGUUCCCUUCGGGGACAUGGAUACAGGUGGUGCAUGGUUGUCGUCAGCUCGUGUCGUGAGAUGUUGGGUUAAGUCCCGCAACGAGCGCAACCCUUAUUAUCAGUUGCCAGCAUUAAGUUGGGCACUCUGGUGAGACUGCCGGUGACAAACCGGAGGAAGGUGGGGAUGACGUCAAAUCAUCAUGCCCCUUAUGACCUGGGCUACACACGUGCUACAAUGGAUGGUACAACGAGUUGCGAACUCGCGAGAGUAAGCUAAUCUCUUAAAGCCAUUCUCAGUUCGGAUUGUAGGCUGCAACUCGCCUACAUGAAGUCGGAAUCGCUAGUAAUCGCGGAUCAGCAUGCCGCGGUGAAUACGUUCCCGGGCCUUGUACACACCGCCCGUCACACCAUGAGAGUUUGUAACACCCAAAGUCGGUGGGGUAACCUU
rnacentral:rRNA from 1 species